GAUUUAAUUCCGUUUUCAACGAAUGAUCUUGUAUGGGGCAUUUUUAGAGCAGUAUUUUUUCAAAAUAUGUUUAGAUCUCGUUAAAUGUUCUUUCAAAGAGAGUUAAGUGUGUGGAAGUGGCUGUUAAGAAAGAAAAUUGCACACAAUGCAGGUUAGUGAGUGAAAUGUAGAGGCAUGCGCGGAAAAUCAUUACCUUCUUCAAGAAGUAUAUCGAUUAUAUGUUUUACCUGUAACAAUGCUUGGCCUUCUAGAAAUUUCACAUUACACUUUAAAUAUUAUCGUAAGUUGUUGCUCUUGCGUCAUCAAAGGUACAUAUAAACAUUGAGACUGCUAGUAAAAUUGGCACAUUUAUUUAAGUUUAGCAGCCCCACCAUCAGAUUCGUGUAUAAUUUUUUUGCUUAAUUUUAGCGAAAUCUAUGACAUGAUAAAUCAGCAAAUCGUCACUUCAAUUCUUCAUUACGUGGGAUUCAAUUAAGUGUUUUGUUAAUUCCGCCUUUGACUAGUAAGAAGGGAGUACCCGAUGGUGGUACUUUAGGUUACUUCUGGUUGCGAUUUUUACAUCUAGGUUUACGUCAUUAUAGUUUUGAGGUUAUCUUUGUGCCGAUGACACCCAACUGUACUUUUCUUUUUCUAUGAAAUGCCUUAACGAAGAAAGCAACAGUAAUAAUUCUGUACUUCAUACUAAUAAAUCCUCAGUGGUGAUAUUCGGAAAUGACAACCGAGUUGAUAAUAUUAAAAACUACGUAAACUUCUCUAUAAAAAAUUCUUGGAGUAGUUGCUAGGUACUUUAUAUUCUCGGAUAAAAUUUAGACAGUACGUUAUAAGCAAGGUAAAGAUUGCAUACAGUAACCUAAAAUUAAUUUAUGAAAAUUGUCACUCAGAAUACUAAAAAGCUUAUUUCAGUACCAUAUUAACCAUAAGAAAAUAUAGUGACCCCUCUACAGUAAAAAGUGAUGCGCGGCAGGUGGCUGUUAUAUUUCUGUAGAGAAGUUGUGGAUUUUUUGCGCAUGCGUCACCCCAUAUAGCUAUGAGCAAAGAGUAUAAGAUAGAGGGGAAGGUCGUGUAGACUGUUACGAAUGCCAUCGAUUAUUUGUGUCCAAGUACUAAAGUACUGUCAUGGCGCAUUCAAGUAAUGCGCCACACUGAGAAUACUACACUGAGCUUGUAACGGAUAACACUUUAUUUAUAUUUUAAUUAAAAAAAAAAUUAAAACUAUUUCGACAUAAUUUUUUUUUCACAUUUCACCUUUCAAACUUUAAAUUGAAUUGAACCGUACGUCCCGCGCGUUUUCUGUUUUCAUGACUGGACACAAUCACUAGCGGCGUUGAAACUCAACUACGCUUUUUAACAUUGCCACUAAAGGGAGCCUUUCCCUCUACCUUAUUUAUACUCUUUGGCUAUGAGAUAAUAUAGUCUCCUUUCUACGGUAAAAAGUGAUGCGCCGAAGGUGAUAUUUUCGUAGGGAAGGUGUGGAUCUUAUGCGCAUGCGUCGUCGCCAACUAACUGAGUUGCCACAUUGCCGUAGUUUUUCUGAAAAAAUUGACUAAUUUUCAUAAGAUCGCAAAAUCAGUCUCUGAAAUCCAAAUAUAAUUGGCAACGUUGAGCUUGGAAUUGCUAUGGUCAGAGAAUGCUAACAGUCUGUGACAUUGUUGUUUACAUUUUUGGUAGUUAUGAUUCUCUCCGUCCCUUUUUCGUGUUUUUGCGAAAAACUUGUUGUGUUUGUGGUCAAAAUUCUAAGGAAAAGAAUGUGCCUAUAUACGGUGGUUUUUAGAGGACUCCCACUCACAAACUUGUAUAAUUGGUGCUUUCAAUUCUUACUUGCUCCUUCACGAAAUUUCAACAAGUGUGGCAAAUAUGAGGACCUAAUAGGAUCUCAGACAAACGAGUGAUUCAACAAACUACAAGGUACACUUAAAUAGCUACAUAGGAAAGAUGUUUGGGUAAUAUGUUUUAGUGUACAAGAAUUACAGGAAAUGUAAGAAAACAAUUCAGCUGCAACUUUUACUAGAACAAUCACAAGAAAUACUUCUUGAUAGUUACAAAUCCUUGUAAAGUGUUCGUUUGUCAUCAUCACAUUGCAUUUCAGUUGGUCAAGAAUUACAGAAAUUAUUACCGCAGAAAGUAGGGAAUUACCAGAAUCAGUUCAGCUGCAACAGAAAGAACUUAAACUAUAAAUCUGCAGGAUUUUUUUGGGAAGUCUGAAGGCAUUACAGGAAAUCUUUGAGAAUUACCAGGAAUUCUAGGCAACUGUUCAAAAUUUUGGGGUACUUCAUUUGUAGGUCAACUUCCUCCUGAGGGAGGUAAGUGAAUACUGCAGUAUGUACAUACACAAUUUAACACUGAUUAAAUAGAACCGCUUCUAUCAAUAAAUACUGAUUUUGUACAUCUGCUUGUUAGAUUCGGGACAACUUGAGUAGGAAAAAUAUUAUAUGCACAACUUGGAAGGAAGAGAUUGAUGAGUCUCCGACUAUUUUCCCAACCCUUGCUUACCUUGAGAGUAAACUAUCUCCUUGUUUCGCAAGUACCGCCUACCUCCCUUGUGUGAAUAAAUAUUUAGCACAAGUUUUUGGACAAGUUAUGGGACUGAUCCAUGUACUGUAUCCCAUUUUUUUGUAGACUUGCAUAUAUGUCUGUUUCUUAGUUUUGAUAUAAUAAUCACUUAUCCAGGUAGUGUCAUUCAAUUUAUAUUUUAUUUUUUAGUUUACCAAAAGAUGAAAUUGGAGCUUCUAGAGAGGCUGGUAGCCUUAGAAAUCAUUCAUAUGUGGGGUUGACAUCACUCCUUUAAGCUAUAGAAGAGAUGGUAAAGUCCUGAUAAAGUAGAACUACAGCAGACACCAGCAGAUCUUUAAUCUUCAGUGGUAGUGCAACAUUACAAGUUAUAGAGAAGCCUGGCACAGAAUAACCAGCGGUCAUCUGUUUUUAAAAAGAACUUAAGGCACAGCAAUAUAUUGACAAGUGCUUCUGAUGUAAAUUUUCUUUCGAAUUUUCAGUGAAUGAAAUUUUUGCUGUAGUUAUUCUACUAAUAAUUAACAGUGUUUUAUUACAUUAUAAAUGAAAUUUUUUUUUAUUGGUUUCAUCUUCUUUUUUGCAAUUUUUAAAGGUGGUGAUCCUCUCAAAGGAAGUAAUCUAAAAGUUCCUUGAAAAAUAAAAAUUAAAUAAUAUGCUAUUAAAAAAUGCAGCAUAUUUUUUAAUGCAAUUCCUUAUUGUGUUUAUAAGCAACAAUAUAUUUUUGUUCUUUUCAAUAAAAGCCUUAUUUAAUAAUUCAUUUAUUUAUUUAUACUAACCAAAUCAAGUUAAUUUAAUUGAUUUUGAGACAAUAAACUACACUUUUUAGAGUUUGGUAGGUAAUAUUAAUUCUGUUACAUUUAGGGCUAAUUGUUUAUUGACUUGUUUUAUACUAGUUUUUAAUUUUCUGGGUUACAUUUUCCAAUACCUAGUUUUUAAAGAAAUUGUCCAUUGGUACUUUUCAUAAUUAUAUAUUUCGGAGGCGAAACUUUCUUUAAUUACUAGACUUGCGAUGAGCGUUCUAUCUAUAUGAGGUGCCUGUUGAACAUUUUUUCCACUUACAUGUUUCUUGUGCGAUAUCUAGUACCUUAAAGUUAUAUUUACACUUUUAGAGUCAUAUUUCGUGAAUUUUGACUUUAUUUCCAUCUUUAAUAGAGGUUAAAACAAUAAGUUUAUAAAAACAAACUGUUUGCGCCGAUUUAACGGGCACAAAUUCGGGAAAAAUUAGCUGCUAUCGUGUUUAUAGCGCUUAAAGAACCAAAAUGAUAAAAUACUUGCAGAAGGACGCCGAUCCGUGUGCUGUAAUUCUACAUAAUAGUAACUGUGGACUUAUCGCUAAUUUUUUUUAACAACACUUUCUACACCUUAAUACCUUUUGUGCCUGAAAAUUUAAUGGGAUUUCGACAUAUUUUGUGAAAAUACUGCCGUCGUAAAAAUGCAGCAUCCAAACAUUGACGACCCGCUAUCCGCCAUAUUGGUUGUUGGAAGCCGCAAGGCCUUAUGGGUUGAAUGUCAGAAAUUCAAUUAACGCCGCCAUUGAUUGAACAGACCUCCAAUUUUUUUUACAUAGUUGCUUCACGAGUUCCUUUACUAUUAGAAUGGGGAGAGCCUCUGCAUGUCCAGUAUUAAUCAUUGUAUAACAGCGUAUUCGCGGCUUGUCUAGAUAAUAUAUAGAAAAAUAUCAUAUUCAAAAAGUUAAAAACUCCUGUCUUAGCAGCAGCUGUUCACGUGCUGCUCCAUGUAAAAUCAUGCAAUGUGCGACACACACAAUUUGAAUCUUCGUGGAUAGGUUCUUCUUAGUGGGCCACAACAAAUUG